UACAGAGGGUGCGAGCGUUAUCCGGAUUUACUGGGCGUAAAGCGCGGGCAGGCGGUGGUCCAAGUCGGACGUGAAAGCUACCGGCUCAACUGGGAGAGGUCGUUCGAAACUGGGCCGCUAGAGGGCAGUAGAGGGGCGUGGAAUUCCGGGUGGAGUGGUGAAAUGCGUAGAGAUCCGAAGGAACACCAGAGGCGAAGGCGGCGCCCUGGGCUGCACCUGACGCUGAGCCGCGAAAGCGCGGGGAGCGAACGGG
rnacentral:rRNA from 1 species